rnacentral:rRNA from 1 species
UACGUAGGUGGCAAGCGUUGUCCGGAUUUACUGGGCGUAAAGAGCGCGCAGGCGGUCGUAUAAGUCGAAUGUGAAAGCCCCCGGCUCAACUGGGGAGGGUCACUCGAUACUGAUCGACUUGAAGGCAGGAGAGGGAAGCGGAAUUCCCGGUGUAGUGGUGAAAUGCGUAGAUAUCGGGAGGAACACCAGUGGCGAAGGCGGCUUCCUGGCCUGUUCUUGACGCUGAGGCGCGAAAGCUAGGGGAGCAAACGGG